rnacentral:rRNA from 1 species
AUUGAACGCUGGCGGCAGGCCUAACACAUGCAAGUCGAGCGAGCGGCGGACGGGUGAGUAAUGUAUGGGGACUGCCCGAUAGAGGGGGAUACCUACUGGAAACGGUGGCUAAUACCGCCUACUAUCCGCUUACCCAUAUGGGAUUAGCUAGUUGUGGGGGUAAAGGCUCACCUAGGCGACGAUCUCUAGCUGGUCUGAGAGGAUGACCAGCCACACUGGAACUGAGACACGGCCCAGACUCCUACGGAGGCAGCAGUGGGGAAUAUUGGAAGAUGGGCGCAAGCCUGAUGCAGCCAUGCCGCGUGUAUGAAGAAGGCCUUAGGGUUGUAAAGUACUUUCAGCGGGGAGGCGUUACCCGCAGAAGAAGCACCGGCUAACUCCGUGCCAGCAGCCGCGGUAAUUC